rnacentral:rRNA from 1 species
AACGAACGCUGGCGGUAUGCUUAACACAUGCAAGUCGAACGAACAAAAUUGGGGCUUGCUCCAAUUUUAGUGAGUGGCAAACGGGUGAGUAACACGUGGGAAUCUACCUAUCAGUACGGAAUAACAUUUGGAAACAGAUGCUAAUACCGUAUAUUCUCCAAGGAGGAAAGAUUUAUCGCUGAUAGAUGAGCCCGCGUAAGAUUAGGUAGUUGGUAGGGUAAUGGCCUACCAAGCCGACGAUCUUUAGCUGGUCUGAGAGGAUGAUCAGCCACACUGGGACUGAGACACGGCCCAGACUCCUACGGGAGGCAGCAGUGGGGAAUAUUGGACAAUGGGCGAAAGCCUGAUCCAGCAAUACCGCGUGAAUGAUGAAGGCCUUAGGGUUGUAAAGUUCUUUCGGCCGGGAAGAAAUCGCACAGGUUAAUACCCUGUGUGGAUGACGGUACCGGAAUAAGAAGCACCGGCUAACCACGUGCCAGCAGCCGCGGUAAUGUAGACG